AUUGAACGCUGGCGGCAGGCCUAACACAUGCAAGUCGAACGAGUGGCGGACGGGUGAGUAAUGUCUGGGAAACUGCCUGAUGGAGGGGGAUAACUACUGGAAACGGUAGCUAAUACCGCAUACUAUCGGAUGUGCCCAGAUGGGAUUAGCUAGUAGGUGGGGUAAAGGCUCACCUAGGCGACGAUCCCUAGCUGGUCUGAGAGGAUGACCAGCCACACUGGAACUGAGACACGGUCCAUACUCCUACGGGAGGCAGCAGUGGGGAAUAUUGGACAAUGGGCGCAAGCCUGAUCCAGCCAUGCCGCGUGUAUGAAGAAGGCCUUCGGAUUGUAAAGUACUUUCAGCGGGGAGGCGUUACCCACAGAAGAAGCACCGGCUAACUCCGUGCCAGCAGCCGCGGUAAUUC
rnacentral:rRNA from 1 species